GAUGAAUGCUGGCGGCGUGCCUAAUACAUGCAAGUCGUGCGGCAGCGCGAGUAGUUUACUACUUGGCGGCGAGCGGCGGACGGCUGAGUAACGCGUGGGAACGUGCCCCAAAGUGAGGGAUAAGCCCGAGAAAUCGGGUCUAAUACCGCAUAUGGUCUUCGGAUUAAAGCUUCGGCGCUUUGGGAGCGGCCCGCGUACGAUUAGAUUGUUGGUGAGGUAAUGGCUCACCAAGUCGACGAUCGUUAGCUGGUCUGAGAGGAUGAUCAGCCAGACUGGAACUGAGACACGGUCCAGACUCCUACGGGAGGCAGCAGUAAGGAAUCUUCCACAAUGGGGGCAACCCUGAUGGAGCAACGCCGCGUGCAGGAUGAAGGCCCUCGGGUCGUAAACUGCUUUUAUGAGUGAAGAAUAUGACGGUAACUCAUGAAUAAGCACCGGCUAACUACGUGCCAGCAGCCGCGGUCAUACGUAGGGUGCAAGCAUUAUCCGGAGUGACUGGGCGUAAAGAGUUGCGUAGGCGGUUAGUAAAGCGAAUAGUGAAACCUGGUGGCUCAACCAUACAGACUAUUAUUCGAACUCACUAACUCGAGAGUGGUAGAGGUAACUGGAAUUUCUUGUGUAGGAGUGAAAUCCGUAGAUAUAAGAAGGAACACCAAUGGCGUAGGCAGGUUACUGGACCAUUUCUGACGCUAAGGCACGAAAGC
rnacentral:rRNA from 1 species